rnacentral:rRNA from 1 species
GUACACUCCUGCGGGAGGCAGCAGUGGGGAAUAUUGGACAAUGGGCGCAAGCCUGAUCCAGCCAUGCCGCGUGAGUGAUGAAGGCCCUCGGGUUGUAAAGCUCUUUCACCGGUGAAGAUAAUGACGGUAACCGGAGAAGAAGCCCCGGCUAACUUCGUGCCAGCAGCCGCGGUAAUACGAAGGGGGCUAGCGUUGUUCGGAUUUACUGGGCGUAAAGCGCACGUAGGCGGACUAUUAAGUCAGGGGUGAAAUCCCGGGGCUCAACCCCGGAACUGCCUUUGAUACUGGUAGUCUUGAGUUCGAGAGAGGUGAGUGGAAUUCCGAGUGUAGAGUUGAAAUUCGUAGAUAUUCGGAGGAACACCAGUGGCGAAGGCGGCUCACUGGCUCGAUACUGACGCUGAGGUGCGAAAGCGUGGGGGGCAAACAGGAUUAGAUACCCUGGAAGUCCCAU